rnacentral:rRNA from 1 species
AUUGAACGCUAGCGGCAGGCCUAACACAUGCAAGUCGAACGAGUGGCGGACGGGUGAGUAAUGUAUGGGAAACUGCCCGAUGGAGGGGGAUAACUCCUGGAAACGGUAGCUAAUACCGCAUACAAUCGGAUGUGCCCCGAUGGGAUUAGAUUGUGGGUGAGGUAACGGCUCACCUCGGCGACGAUCCCUAGCUGGUCUGAGAGGAGGACCAGCCACACUGGAACUGAGACACGGUCCAGACUCCUACGGGAGGCAGCAGUGGGGAAUAUUGCACAAUGGGCGCAAGCCUGAUGCAGCCAUGCCGCGUGUAUGAAGAAGGUCUUCGGGUUGUAAAGUACUUUCAGCGGGGAGGCGUUACCCGCAGAAGAAGCACCGGCUAACUCCGUGCCAGCAGCCGCGGUAAUUC